GCUUCGCUUUCGCUUGGCGCAACAAUUAGCUAUUAACACUUAACAAUGAACAAAUUAGUUAAGGGUUAACUGUUAAAUGUUAAAGGUUCGCGUAGCGUAAGCGGAGCGCGCGGCAAACGGGAGCGGAACGCAUUGGUAACCCACCUUGAGGAAAGGCAUAAUCCCGCGAAAGCAGGAAUAAUUCCCGAUAAAAAUGGGGGGACAGAAGUCAUUCCCAUUUAAAGCAUAUCCUCGCGAAAGCGGGGAUCUACACCUCGAGAGGGACCUAUGUCCUAUCAGCUAGUUGGUGAGGUAAUGGCUCACCAAGGCAAUGACAGGUAGCGGGUGUGAGAGCAUGACCCGCCUCACUGGGACUGAGACACUGCCCAGAUUCCUACGGGAGGCAGGAGUGGGACUCAUACGGGAGGCAGCAGUGGGACUCCUACGGGAGGCUGCAGUGGGCCCAGUCAUACGGGAGGCAGCAUUUUUGAUCUUGCAGAAAACUCGAGCCU
rnacentral:sRNA from 1 species